GGGAUAGGGUGUUCGAUGCGUCGGAUGUCCCUAUCUACUGCCUUGCUCACCCCUUAUCCCCUCCAUUGUAUGCACCCGCUCCCUCUCUCAUCCCGGCAUCCUCCUCCUCUACCCCAGCAGCUUCUUCCCCCACCCCAGCGGCGGCGCUUCACCCACCACGACGUCCUCCUCCACUGCUCCUCCGUCGGAUCCGCCAUACUUGAGCUCCUCCGCCGCCCUCGAGCUCCUCCACCAAGGCUUAAGAGGCUGCGCAUGCGGGGCGCGGCUGGAGGCGGAAGAGCGGCAGCGGCUCACCGGUGCGGCGGUACACUAGUGGGAGCGGCCCAUAGCAAGAGGACCAAUUACCUGACGGCGCGGACCCAGGGCAGGGCGCGACUACGGUAGCGGCAGGCUAGCGAGGCGCACAGGGAGUGCGCACCCCUUGGCGGGCCCACUUUUCACCGAUGCACAUUGUGUGAGUUGAAAAAUCACUACCGGGACCGAGCCUUAGCUCGGUUGGUGCGCUCUCCGGGUGCGGAAGCCACCGGUCGCGGGUUCGAGCGUUGCUCGUCCCGGAUUUCCCACCGGGAACAGUAGGUUCUUAUUAAAUUUUGUUAUCUCUCAUGCGUGGAGCCACAAAGGGAUUGCGACGCGCCCGUCGCCUACGGAGCCUUGGAUGGAUCCGGUGAUCUCAUGAAGGACGCGAUUUGAUCUGAGUGUAGUUGUGUUUGUUUGUGUAUGUGUGGUGUGAGUGUGGUGUGCGUGUGUAAGGUUGAUGUGAGUUGUACAUGAACAAUACUACAACUGUACC